AUUGAACGCUGGCGGCAUGCUUUACACAUGCAAGUCGAACGGCAGCGCGGGCUUCGGCCUGGCGGCGAGUGGCGAACGGGGGAGUAAUGCAUCGGAACGUGCCCAGUAGUGGGGGAUAGCCCGGCGAAAGCCGGAUUAAUACCGCAUACGACCUGAGGGUGAAAGCGGGGGACCGGAAGGCCACGCGCUUUUGGAGGGGCCGAUGUCGGAUUAGCUAGUUGGUGGGGUGAGGGCUUACCAAGGCGCCGAUCCGUAGCUGGUCUGAGAGGACGACCAGCCACACUGGGACUGAGACACGGCCCAGACUCCUACGGGAGGCAGCAGUGGGGAAUUUUGGACAAUGGGGGCAACCCUGAUCCAGCCAUGCCGCGUGCGGGAAGAAGGCCUUCGGGUUUUAAACCGCUUUUGUUCGGGAAGAAAUCCUCUGGGCUAAUACCCCGGGGGGAUGACGGUACCGGAAGAAUAAGCACCGGCUAACUACGUG
rnacentral:rRNA from 1 species